rnacentral:rRNA from 1 species
CGGAGGGGGCGAGCGUUGUCCGAAGUUACUGGGCGUAAAGCGCGCGUAGGCGGGUUGUCAAGUCCGCUGUGAAUGCCCGAGGCUCAACCUCGGAGGGUCGGUGGAUACUGACAGUCUUGAAGGUGCUAGGGGGAGAUGGAAUUACCGGUGUAGCGGUGAAAUGCGUAGAGAUCGGUAGGAACACCAGUGGCGAAGGCGGUCUCCUGGGGCAUUCUUGACGCUGAUGCGCGAAAGCUGGGGGAGCGAACGGGAUUAGAUACCCCGGUAGUCCCAGCCCUAAACGAUGGAUACUAGGUGUCGGGGGUAUCGACCCCCCCGGUGCCGCCGCUAACGCAGUAAGUAUCCCGCCUGGGGAGUACGGCCGCAAGGUUG